rnacentral:rRNA from 1 species
CCUACGGGUGGCAGCAGUGGGGAAUAUUGCACAAUGGGGGAAACCCUGAUGCAGCGACGCCGCGUGAGGGAAGAAGGAUUUCGGUUCGUAAAGCUCUAUCAGCAGGGAAGAAACUGCCGGUACCUGACUACGAAGCCCCGGCUAACGACGUGCCAGCAUCCGCGGUAAUACGUCGGGGGCACACGUUAUUCGGAUUUACUGGGUGGAAAGGGGGCGUAGGCGGCAGCGCAAGUCUGGAGUGAAAGCCCCUGGCUUAAACAUGGAACUGCAGUGGAAAAUGUGCAGCUGGAGUGCAGGAGAGGUAAGCGGAAUGCCUAGUGUAGCGGUGAAAUGCGUAGAUAUUAGGAGGAACACCAGUGGCGAAGGCGGCUUACUGGACUGUAACUGACGUUGAGGCUCGAAAGCGUGGGGAGCGAACAGGAUUAGAUACCCUUGUAGUC